UCCGAAAAUCUGACCGUUGAAGGUGUCACUCAUAUGAAUAUAGGCUUCACGGACCGAAGAGAGCAAAGAAGCGUACAUUAUUAUAGCCCAGUUAUACUUUUUAGGUUUUUCUCCAAUCUCUCUCUCUCUCUCUGCAUUCAGCUAGGAAUACGGUUUUCAGGGAAAUUUUGGGGAAAAAGGAAAAAGAAAGCUUUUUUCUGCUUGUAACUUCUAGUGAAGUCAGAGAGAUCCAGAAGGAGACACAAGGAGUAGGCUUAGGCUUAUGAGGUUCUGAAUGAUCCUGAGAAACGUGAAUCUAUGACCCAUAAGGUGAGGACGCACUUAAGGAAUGGGUGGUGGCGGUAGAGCCCAUGGCCCAUUUGACAUCUUCGAAUCUUUCUGCAGCGGCAGUGCUUUUGGAGGUUAGAAGCAGAGGAGGACCGAGGUAGAGGAGUGGGGAUGAUGUGGUGCACCCUCUAAAGUUUUCACUGGAAGACGUUUACUUUGGAACCUCGAAUAGUUCUCACUUUCCUGGAAUGUGAUUUGCUCCUAGUGUGAUGGGAAUGCCUUCUUCCUGUUCCCAAGGAAAGUCCUUUGGAAAUCUGAUAUUAGAGAACCACGGACUAAGGAUGACGGCAUGGAUUUAAGCUCUUAUCACUUGGCCGAUGCCGAUAUAAUUCUCUGCAUGCAUUUUGGUUCAGAAGUUGGUGGUGUUCCUGGAGUAGAGAAGAAUAUGGAUGUAUAGAAGAGCAUACAAGUGCAUCCUUUUGCCCCUUCCGUACAUGACAGCGUGACCGAAGGGUUCCAACAUUGGUGAUAAUGGUGAUGAUGGCUAAUUCCUAGUUGAAGAAUUAAAUUUAAGCAGUAGUCUAAUCUUGUAUUUAUUAUAGAUUUUUUGUGUUUAUGGUUGUGUAAAGAUGAACCAACAGUAAUAAGGAUGGAUGGAUGGAUGGCUAUGUUGGUUUGGGAGAGAAGAGAUUGCUCGCGUAUUGCCUGGGACUCUGCCUCCUUUGUGUGGGUGUGUUGGUGUCUCUGCUUUCUUUUUCUCCCCUGCAUUCCCUUUCUUUGUUCGCUCUUCAAUUUAUUUUUCUCUUUCUUUCCUUCUUU